rnacentral:rRNA from 1 species
GGUUUGGUCCUAGCCUUGAAGUCAGUUAUUACUUAAUAUACACAUGCAAGUAUCCGCCCCCCUGUGAAAACGCCCUUUAAUCCCCUCUAGGGACAAGGAGCUGGUAUCAGGCACGAAAAUCUGCCCAAGACACCUAGCUAUGCCACACCCACAAGGGAAUUCAGCAGUGAUUAACAUUGAGCAUUAGCGCAAGCUUGACUCAGUUAAAGUAAGAUAGAGCCGGCUAAUCUGGUGCCAGCCGCCGCGGUUACACCAUGUGGCUCAAAUUGACCCCUUCCGGCGUAAAGCGUGAUUAAAGUUAUUUAUUAAUAGAGUUAAACUGAAACUAAGCUGUGACACGCCUGUUUAUCAAGAAACCCAAAAACGAAAGUUACUCUAACUUAAUCAACUUGACUUCACGACAGCUGG